rnacentral:rRNA from 1 species
UACAGAGGUCUCAAGCGUUGUUCGGAAUCAUUGGGCGUAAAGGGCGUGUAGGCGGCUUCGUGUGUCCCAUGUGAAAGCCCUCGGCUCAACCGGGGAACUGCAUGGGAAACUGCGGAGCUUGAGUCCGGGAGAGGUGAGUGGAAUUCCCAGUGUAGCGGUGAAAUGCGUAGAUAUUGGGAGGAACACCGGUGGCGAAGGCGGCUCACUGGACCGGUACUGACGCUGAGACGCGAAAGCCAGGGGAGCAAACGGG